AGUGAACGCUGGCGGUAGGCCUAACACAUGCAGGUCGAACGGCAGCACAGUAAGAGCUUGCUCUUACGGGUGGCGAGUGGCGGACGGGUGAGGAAUACAUCGGAAUCUACUUUUUCGUGGGGGAUAACGUAGGGAAACUUACGCUAAUACCGCAUACGACCUACGGGUGAAAGCAGGGGAUCUUCGGACCUUGCGCGAUUGAAUGAGCCGAUGUCGGAUUAGCUAGUUGGCGGGGUAAAGGCCCACCAAGGCGACGAUCCUUAGCUGGUCUGAGAGGAUGAUCAGCCACACUGGAACUGAGACACGGUCCAGACUCCUACGGGAGGCAGCAGUGGGGAAUAUUGGACAAUGGGCGCAAGCCUGAUCCAGCCAUACCGCGUGGGUGAAGAAGGCCUUCGGGUUGUAAAGCCCUUUUGUUGGGAAAGAAAAGCAGCAGGUUAAUACCCCGCUGUUCUGACGGUACCCAAAGAAUAAGCACCGGCUAACUUCGUG
rnacentral:rRNA from 1 species